rnacentral:lncRNA from 1 species
AAAAGUAUUAUGCUUAAGUAACAUUACUCCCUUAAAGAGUAUUCCUAUUUGAAGCCCUCGUUUUUUCAUUCUCUAUCCUCACUCAGUCAUAAUAUAAAGACUUCGCUCUCGUUAGAAAACCCCUCGCUGCAAAAUUGCGAGGGCCAAAAUCGAUUCCCUUGAAAUCCAUUGCUGCAAAAUAGAAGAGAAAGAAAACGAAGCCCUUGAUCCCCUCCAAAAACGCGAUCCCCUCCAGAAACGUGAUUGCUACAAAAUCGAAGCCUUAUAUGUUUGAUCCCCCUCAAGCCCUAGAAUCCUAUUCUUCCCUUCUCUACGCCGCCGCCUUCGCCCGUCCAGCUCCUCCCGACGUCCAGCUCUAGCCCAACCGCAGGUCUGUCUUCUAUUUAAAUAUUACCUUUCAAAAGUUCUUAUAUAAAAGUUGAGGAAUUGUGUAUAUGCAACCUAAGAUUAUGUGUUAGUUAUUUGGGAAUUUCAUCUUUAUUAAUUUCUUGGUUGUUAUUAUUGAAGUAUUCACUGAGAUUUGAGAAACUCUGUGCCUCGCAUAGCAAUAAUUCGUAACAUUAUGCUCAAAUCGCAUAGCAGUCGUUGGAUGUAUGUGGUUGACAAAAAUGUACAUAGAUGCUAAUUUUUAAUUCUGCUUUUUUAACUUGCAUGUAUCCAAUAAACUUGUCAAAUUUGCUUUAUCUUUUUUUUUCUUUUCCUUUUUGUGUUGUGAUUAAAUUUAUUUUAGGGCUAUGUGAAAAACUAUCCCUUUGUGUUUAAUUGUUUAUCAUACUGAAUAUGAAAUCAAUGUUUUCAUUAAAAAGAUCUAUGAAAAAAACAUUAGCGUAAGCUAACUUGGUAAUUUAUCUUUGCAUAUGCAACCUAAGAUUAUGUGUUAGUUAUUUGGGAAUUUAUUCUUUACUAAAUUCUUGGUUGUUAUUAUUGAAGUAUUCACUGAGAUUUGGGAAACUCUGUGCCUCACAUAGCAAUAAUUCGUAACAUUAUGCUCAAAUCGUUCCUCUAUUCUUCUCAUCUUUGUUGUAUGAUAAAAGGAUAUCAUAAUAACUAGAGACUAUGUAAUGGUGAUAAUGAAUUACUGACUCACACUCGAGCCUUUUUUCUCACUGUCUGCUCAAACUGGUACCAUCUAUCUUGGGCUCCAAGGGGAGUGAUACCCAUGUUAUACAACUGAAAUAUAAUUCAUCUGUUAAUAAAUUUCUUGUCUUUGACUAAAUUACAUUCAAAAGCAUAUUUAUUUGUUUAAGUACGUACCAUGUGUAUAUUGCUUUAUGGCCCUUCUCUAUCCAUUAAACUGUUAUUCAACUUCCUUGCAGUUAAUUCUUGAUAUGCAUUUUACUGUAGUGAUAACCAUGUAGUAGAUGAAAUUUUUUUGGAGUACAAUUUGAAAAGGAUCGAAUUAAUUAGGGACGAGAUAAUUUAAUAAGAAAAAUGCCUAAGGUCAUCAAUUUUCUUCAUGGCUUCACCUUCUUUGUUCUUCUUAAUUGUUUUACAUUUCAACCAUUUGAAAGAAUGCUUAUAACUUAGUGAUUGUUCUGGCUGGAAACAAAAUGAACUCCUUCUCUCCCUCUCUCUCAACAAGCUCAUUUGUAAAUGAAAAAUUAUAAAAUUUCCAGAAUGAAAUAAUUUCAGAUUAUAGUGUCUAAAAAGAAAAUUAGUGAUGUUGAGAAUUUUUAACAAUGAAAAACAAAUGAUAAUGACUUACUUGAUUCCUUCUAUUUAUAAUAGUUUGACCUGUAAGGUGCAUCAAAUACAUAAUUCAAUUAUUUGAAAUUUAUGGUGUUUUGACUUCCUAUGGGGUAAAGCACUGGUAAUAUCUAUGUAAUGAUUCAAAUUUUAACUAUUUUAUGUUCCUUGGGAUUUUAUAAUGACAAUAUCUUUGUUUGGUUUGUUGCAGUACACCAACUGAAGAAACCUAGAGGAUUUUGAAGAGGGGGAUGGAUUGACCAUUUGGAUGGCAGAUUAUUCACAUAUUUUUAGUUCUUAUUUUCAUUUAGUACCUAUCGUAGCCGUCAUUCUGAAUCACAUUCAGUUUUUGGGUCAUGGGAUGUCAUUUUGUAGAAAUUUUUGUACUAGGAGUAAAAACAGCACUGUAUGUUUUGGUUUGGUUUUUGGGUCAUAGAUUGUUUUGGUUUUAGUUGAACAAGGUGCUUUUGGUCUUGUAAAAUAAUUGUAUAAAUCUGUUGUAGCUGCUAUAAAAUCUAUAUGGGCGAAGUUUUUUGCUUAUGCGUGUUGUAUAUCUUCAGUCCAGUCUAACAUAGCCACAUUUCUUUCUUUUUCUUUCGUCUUUGUAGAGUUUUAAGGUUGUGCGUAUGUGGAUGAAUAAGAAAAGAAAAAAAUAAUAAUUAAAAACUUGUAUUGAGC